rnacentral:lncRNA from 15 species
AUCAGUCUCAAUUUAAUACUGAUUCCUCUAUAUGACCUACAUAAACAAACAAGACCAUAAGUGAGAAGAUGGCUCAAAACACUCCCGCUUUUGUCCACAGGGGCUGCCAGAAUAACACAAAGUCAAAGUUCCUUGUUACAAUGAAGUUAGUGCUUGGUACAUUUGCACUCAGAACUGGAAGACUCCUAUUGAUUUAAGCUUUUUCUGCUUAUGAGGACCGAACAAUGUGCUUAACAGGACAAAAAGGCUUCAUGGAGAUACAACACACAUCUUUGAAUUGAGAUGCCUUCCUCAAGAGAAUCUCAUAACAGGUGAACCUAUAAGAAAAUGAAUUGCUGCUUCUGAUUGCAAAUAGUGUCUACAUUGUUGAUGACACUGUAACAUGUCCAUAAUACUGUCGGUCGAUAAUCA